GGAGACAUCUGACGAUGGGUCACCAAUAAAGAAUAAAGAGGAGCGUGAUUUCAAGAAAAUCAGAGUAACGAAAAUAAGAAAAUAGAUGACAGCUUUUCACCUGUCUUCUUGUGGAAGCUGGGCAUUUGUAUAGCCCUUGAGUAACUUUCGCUGCAGCCAUCUCCUGGACUCCUCCUGAGGAUGGUGAAGUCUGUCCUACAGGCACCAGCUGAAGAAAUGCGCGUUUGGUGCUCCCAGCAUGCCCUCUUGUGUUCUGGGAGAGCACGCCUGGAGAGGGAGAUGCAAAACACCCAGGAAGACACAAAUACCAGAGGCAUUUGCAGCACAACCAAAAUUCUUCCGAAAACUAGAAGAGACACAAAAUAUCAGAGAAAUUUGCCACAUAUCCCCAGAGGU